UGGUAGCCGAAGUGGUUAAAGCGUCCGCCUAGGAUUCGGAAGUCGCGGGUUCGAACCUCGGCUGAUUAA